GAGCGAUCUCAUUGCCCUAGGCCCAGCC
rnacentral:sRNA from 1 species